rnacentral:rRNA from 1 species
UACGGGGGGGGGCAAGCGUUGUUCGGAAUUACUGGGCGUAAAGGGCUCGUAGGCGGCCAACUAAGUCAGACGUGAAAUCCCCAGGCUCAACCUGGGAACUGCGUCUGAUACUGGAUGGCUUGAAUCCGGGAGAGGGAUGCAGAAUUCCACGUGUAGCGGUGAAAUGCGUAGAGAUGUGGAGGAACACCGAUGGCGAAGGCAGCCUUCUGGGCCAACACUGACGCUCAUGCACGAAAGCGUGGGGAGCGAACAGG